GGUGAAAAGCACCCCGGAAGGGGAGUGAAAUAGAACCUGAAACCGUGUGCUUACAAGUAGUCAGAGCCCGUUAAUGGGUGAUGGCGUGCCUUUUGUAGAAUGAACCGGCGAGUUACGAUUUGAUGCAAGGUUAAGCAGUAAAUGUGGAGCCGUAGCGAAAGCGAGUCUGAAUAGGGCGUUUAGUAUUUGGUCGUAGACCCGAAACCAGGUGAUCUACCCUUGGUCAGGUUGAAGUUCAGGUAACACUGAAUGGAGGACCGAACCGACUUACGUUGAAAAGUGAGCGGAUGAACUGAGGGUAGCGGAGAAAUUCCAAUCGAACCUGGAGAUAGCUGGUUCUCUCCGAAAUAGCUUUAGGGCUAGCCUCAAGUGAUGAUUAUUGGAGGUAGAGCACUGUUUGGACGAGGGGCCCCUCUCGGGUUACCGAAUUCAGACAAACUCCGAAUGCCAAUUAAUUUAACUUGGGAGUCAGAACAUGGGUGAUAAGGUCCGUGUUCGAAAGGGAAACAGCCCAGACCACCAGCUAAGGUCCCAAAAUAUAUGUUAAGUGGAAAAGGAUGUGGCGUUGCCCAGACAACUAGGAUGUUGGCUUAGAAGCAGCCAUCAUUUAAAGAGUGCGUAAUAGCUCACUAGUCGAGUGACACUGCGCCGAAA
rnacentral:rRNA from 1 species